rnacentral:rRNA from 1 species
GACGAACGCUGGCGGUGCGCUUAACACAUGCAAGUCGAGCGAGAACCAGGGCUUCGGCCCUGGGGACAGCGGCGAACGGGUGAGUAACACGUGGAUAACCUGCCCUCGGCACCGGGAUAGCCCGGGGAAACCCGGAUUAAUACCGGAUGGCCCUUCCGGCUCACGAGCCGGUCGGAAAAGGUAGCUUCGGCCUCCGGCCGAGGAUGGGUCCGCGGCGGAUUAGCUUGUGGGUGGGGUAACGGCCCACCAAGGCUCCGAUCCGUAGCUGGUCUGUGAGGACGAUCAGCCACACUGGGACGGAGACACGGCCCAGACUCCUACGGGAGGCAGCAGUGGGGAAUCUUGCGCAAUGGGCGAAAGCCUGAAGCAGCGACGCCGCGUGAGGGAGGAAGGCCUUCGGGUUGUAAACCUCUUUCAGGAGGGACGAAGCUACUCGGGUGAAUAGCCCAGAGGGUGACGGUACCUCCAGAAGAAGCCCCGGCUAACUACGUGCCAGCCGCCGCCGUAA